GGGAAACCCUGGGCCAAUGAAGCGGAACAUGUAACCUUAACCACUUGGCCACUGGGCUGGCCCCUAAAAUUCUGAUAUGUCCUGGUAUAAUAUCAUAUUUCCAGUCACUAUCUUAAAAUGUUAUAUGCCACAGAAAUAACCAAAUUUCCUUGUCAACUGCAUUGUAAUCAGAUCUUUAACCAUGACAUUUUAAGUCUUUUGCCAUUUACAGACAGUUAUUAUUUUACUCUGAUACUUUUGCAAAUAUGUUUCAUCUUCAAAGUUUCAUGCACAGCAAGGACUGAUAUUUACUCUAGAAUACAAGUGUCUGAUAAACUUUCAGAUUAUAAAACUGAACUGGGUAAGAAAUUACAAAACUCUAAUGGAGAAACUGAUGACUUCAUAAAACUACUAACAAAAGAUCAAGAACAAAUAUUAAGUACAUGGGACUACAUGAACCGAGAAGGAUGCUCUAAUGUUUUGUUUUCCCAGAUUUAAAGAAAUCUUUUCUCUUAAGCUUUCAACAAUUUGGUAAGAUAUAACUUCACAAACAAAGAUGAAACAUUUAUUUUAUCUCCCUACCUGAUCCUCCAGAAUUCACAAAACUUCAGUAAGUAUUCUUAUUUUCAUUUAUAUAAAUCAUCAGGCCAAGUUUUUAAUAAAAACAAAUUACUUUUACCGUGAUUAUCUUUGGUAAAAAAAAAAAUGAGGGUAAUUGUGGAGAGAAAAAUUAUGUUGCACCUUUGUAGAUACUGGAUUUUAGUCCUGUUAAUUGUCUUUGAGAUUUUAUUAUAUAUCUGUAGACUGGACUCCCCUGGCCGAAGGUAUUGCUUUUGGUCUCACCAAUUGUCCGCAGUAUCCUCUUUGGGAAACAGGAACUGACUUCAUAUGGACAGAUCAGUGUCUGUUGGUACAAAACCUUCUGCUGAUCCCUUGUUGUCUUAUGCUAAUGUGACCAGCUACUGUAAGUCUCUAAUGCCUUAUGCUUAAGUCUAUCAUCAACAGGUUAAAGAAUCUUCCUGGAUUCCAAUUUAAAGGAUCUUGUUGGUCACAGUCUAGAGCUUGGUGACUAGGUAUUCUAGAACCAUCAUCAGAGGAAAACAGCCCUCGAGCCCCAUUGGAAAGGACCUUACCAAGUGCUCCAACACUGCUGCAGAACUAGAAGGCACUGAACCUUGGAGAGACAUCUCACAACCAAAAAACGUUCCACCUGAGAUCUGGUCCUGUACAAACGCUGGGACUUCCAAAUCAAACUGACUACGAGAAGAAGCUGCCAACAUCUGAGGCAGACAGCUUUCCCAAGGUGGCUGGAUCAGGCAUGCCCUCCACUUCCCACCCCUCCUUUACCAGUCUGAGACAGAAAGAACUUGCCUAAGAAUGGAGGAGGAGAGAGCUUACCUAAGAAAACAGCAUCAAGAGACAGAGAAAGACUGGAUCAAAAUAACAUCAUUAAAGCCGCACCUCCCUUGGAGUUUUAAGGUAAAAAAGUGAAUGCAUUCCUUAUUCUGCCUAAGCUAAUUUGAUUUUUAGUUUUAUUUUGUUUUAAUUGAAAUCAAAAGUAUACUAAUUUCUACAUAUGUGAAUCCUCUGUGUCUACUGGUUCUAUUAAAUAUGUCUAAUUUUAAUCAUAAUAUUUUAAAGCUCUAUUUUUUUGUAAUUUGAAGCUGAAAUCUCAUGUAACUAUAAAACUGCAAUAAUCAAUCUGGUGGUGGAGCUUUAUCAUCACCAUAACUUUUACUAGAAAAGACUGACAACCUCAUUUAACCAAUUUUCUAUAAAAUGAUGAAGUUGAUGAAGAAAAUCCACUAAUCCAGUAAGUGCUAAAGCAAGAAUUUGAACUCACAUCUGGUUCUAGGUGCCAUAUUUUAUCCAGUAUAGUCCUAGGAACAGCUUCUUAGAAGCUCUGAAAAAUUUGAGAAGAUGCUACACAUUGGAACACAUAAUCAAAUGCAUGGUCGGUACAUAUAUAGAUCCCAUAUGGUCACUUUGGUUUUGUUAAAUCCUGGAGACAGAUGCAAUUACAUAUGGGAACAAUGCAUCUCACUGUCCCCAAACCUUCCCCUUUUCCUCCUGCAUAUUUUUUGUAAAUUUGAAGUUUUUAAUUUCUAUUGCGACCAAAAAAUAUUUUCUAAUGUCAUUAUCAAGUGGACAAUGGAUCAGAAACUGAGAAUCAGGUAAAAAAAUUCUGAUAUGGUCUCCAUCUCUCAUUCCCCCCACCUAACCCCAAACCUCCACUGUACACUUUUGGUCGUAUUGGCCUGUUUGCUUCUUAGUUAAUAGUAAUGUAACUCUUUAUAAAGUUUUCAUUUUAUUUAAUUCUGAAACAGUCCUGAAUUUACAGAAAACUAGGGAGUACAGCGUAAAGAAUUUUUUUUCCUGUGCCACUUGAGAGGAAGUUGCUGACCUCAUGCCCCAUCACCUACAAAUACUUAAGUGUAUAUUACCUACAAAUAAGGACAUUAUCAGAACAAUCCUCGAAAUCAGGAAAUAAAUAAUUCUCAGAUUCCAUUCAAGUUUUUCCAAUUGUCUCCAAAAUUGUCUUUUAAAACCAAAGGAUUAAGUUCAGAAUCUCAUGCUGCAUCUGAUAGUCAUGUCACUUUUGUCUUUGUCAAUCUGGAACAGGCUAGAACAUUUCCUCUAUCUUUCCUUGACUUUCAUGACUUGGACAGUGUUCCAUAUUAUAGGCUAGCUAUUCUAUAGACUGUCCCUUGAUUUAGAUUUUUCUAAAGGUUAUUCUAGAUUCAUGUUACGCAUCUCUGGCAGAAAUAUCACAGAAGUGAUGCUAUGUUCUUGUCGUUAUGUUUUAUCAGAGGCACAACUUCAACUUGUCCUGUCACUGAUGAUGUUAACAUUGAUCAUUUGAUGAAGAUGAUAUCUUCCAGGCUUCCCCACUGCAAAGUUAUCCUUCUUCAAAUAUAGAGAACAUACUCACCUCCUUUCCAAGCAAAAUAAUCCAGAGUCUCAUUAAGUUACUUCAUUCUGCUCAAAAUCCAACAUCUUGGGGUGAUGUAUAGCCAUUUCUGUUGUGUCCAGGUGUGGGUCUUCAUGGUCUAGCAAGCCUGUCAACUAAAAUGCAAGUUAGCCUACUCUCUCCCAUGUCUACCCAAUACCCUCCUUUAAAUGGCUGAAUGGAACGGCAAUAAUCGCAAAAGACACUUUCAUUUGGUAAGGGAAGAAUGGGUGAGACAUAGCAGUCACAGGUCUAUAACAAUUAUUAAAUCCUACUGGGUAGGAGGUAGAAAUACUUGCUAACCUCGCAGUAGAGUCAGUUCCUUGAAAAGCCUAUCUGGAUACCCUUGGUUCUGUUCUCAGAGAUUAACACUCUAGUCCUUGAGCCUUCUGUGGCAGGAUAUUACUUGUUCAUGGUCUUAUGUGGCCACAUUUGAUGUAAGCAUUAGGGAGAAUGUCCACCCUGAGAAUUGUACAUCAUUUUUCCAAGUCAGGCGACCUGAAGGUGUCUUUAAGGGCUCAAAAAAAAUCAAAGAAUUUUGCAGAACAGGCUUGAGAUUUCUUUGCCAAUGUGAUGUCUUCAAAAAGGUAGUUGCCUUAGAGUCUUUGCAUCAAGGCAGUUCCACGUGCUAAUAACCAUCCAAUGAUGAUUCUUUUCAUCUUGCAAUAUGCUUUAAAUUUCCAUUUACUUAGGCCUUUUCUUCUAAUCUUCAAUAAAAUUUUCAUUUCAUACAAUACAUAUUUAUUUGUUCAUGAAUAUAUUAAAAUGUAUUGUUAUUUUAUU